UUACCAGGUUCAUGGCAAAUAACUUUGAGGAUCAUUAUUGGGGUUUUUAGAGUAGAGUUCUUAGCUGAAUAUAAGAACCCGUCUCUUAACUUUUAACUAAAAAGGUUAAGAAAUGACUCUUAAAACUCUUAUUUAAGAAUCGGUUCUUAGCUUUUUUAGUUAAAAGCUAAGAGACGGGUUCUUAUAUUCCGCUAAGAAUCCCAUCUUAAGAACCCCCAAUAGUCAUGCUCUAAUUAGGCUCCAAACGAUAAGGAAUAUUUUUUCCCAGAUAUUCCUUCUCAUUCUUUUUUAUUUAAGGAAUUAUAAAGCAAAACUAUUUUUUAUCAAAUCCGACAAGAAACAAUAUAAGGAAUAAGUAUUUCUAUUAUUUUGUUUAUUUUUUUUAUUUCUUCUUUGUUCUCAUUAUUUUUUUUUGGGGUCACUAAUUAGAGUCUUAGUGACGUGAUCUUUCAUUUUUUUGUAAGGAAUAAGUAUUUCUAUUAUUUUGUUCUUUCUCUUUUUUUUUUAAUUCCUUAUCAUAUCGGUAAGGAGCAAUAAAGAACAUGUAUUCCAAUUAUUUUGUUCCUCUUCAUUUAUUUCAUCUUUGUUCCUAUUAUUACUUUUGGGAUUUUUAACAUUAAAACCGCUCAGGUAAGUUUUAUUUGGGUAAAAACCCUUCGAUUAUGUAUUUAAUGUAAAAACCCCUCAAGUUAAGUAUGUUAGUGUAUAAGCCCAUCCGUCUACAGUAACAUUUAAUUAAUUUUUUAAGAAAAACAACAAGCAUGCUGAAAAACGACACUACAAUGGCACAAUGUGUCUUUUCAUGUUCUUCAAUCAUCAUUUCGAGAAAAUAAAAAUCCCCAAUUCAUCUAACCCUAAUUUUGGAGAUGAAGAACACUACCUUCGCGAGGGAGAGGACUGAAGAUUACUAGUCCGCCAUUAGAGUCCUUGACAAGGUCUGAUAUGAUCUGUUGAUGAAGCUUCAGCGCUAUUGAAGAAGAAAAAUGGCGUAAAUUGGAGAUAACGAGUCUUGACAAUGAUAGAAAUAUUUCUACAGACCUCAAAACUUUGUGGUUUCUGAGAUACAGGCUGGGGUUUGUGAGAUUUUGAGUGUCGGACAGAUUGGUGAAGAAAGAGACGAGUCAGAAACACGAGAUAGAUUUACUGUGAAAGGAGCUGGUAACAUGACAAGGACACUUUAUGUCCGGUUGAUGUUGGAGGGUAUUGGGCAGCUGAUGGAUCAUAUAAUGGUGGUGAGACAAGAUGCUGCAGAGUUGAUUUUGAAAACCAAUGUUUUAAGAUGCUCUUAGUAUGCUGAGCAAUUUACAAGGAUGUAUGCACAUUAUAAGACAAUGGAUGGACUAGGCUAGACAAUAGAUGCACUCGGCUAUAUCUUAUUUUGUUGCUAACUCUGUUUCUUAUUUGAUUUUUCAUUUUAACUCGGUUAAGGUUUUACUAGAGCCAUAUUAUUUAGAAAAUUUUCAGGUCUUCGUAAAACCAUCACUAUUGUGGAAUUUCAUGUAAACUGGUUUCAAGUCUUAGUAAAACAAUCUUUAUUUUGAUGUUA